GGAUGAGUGGAGCUUGCUCCAUGAUUCAGCGGCGGACGGGUGAGUAAUGCCUAGGAAUCUGCCUGGUAGUGGGGGACAACGUUUCGAAAGGAACGCUAAUACCGCAUACGUCCUACGGGAGAAAGUGGGGGAUCUUCGGACCUCACGCUAUCAGAUGAGCCUAGGUUGGAUUAGCUAGUUGGUGAGGUAAAGGCUCACCAAGGCGACGAUCCGUAACUGGUCUGAGAGGAUGAUCAGUCACACUGGAACUGAGACACGGUCCAGACUCCUACGGGAGGCAGCAGUGGGGAAUAUUGGACAAUGGGCGAAAGCCUGAUCCAGCCAUGCCGCGUGUGUGAAGAAGGUCUUCGGAUUGUAAAGCACUUUAAGUUGGGAGGAAGGGCAGUAAGUUAAUACCUUGCUGUUUUGACGUUACCAACAGAAUAAGCACCGGCUAACUUCGUGCCAGCAGCCGCGGUAAUACGAAGGGUGCAAGCGUUAAUCGGAAUUACUGGGCGUAAAGCGCGCGUAGGUGGUUCGUUAAGUUGGAUGUGAAAGCCCCGGGCUCAACCUGGGAACUGCAUCCAAAACUGGCGAGCUAGAGUAUGGCAGAGGGUGGUGGAAUUUCCUGUGUAGCGGUGAAAGGCGUAGAUAUAGGAAGGAACACCAGUGGCGAAGCGACCACCUGGGCUAAUACUGAACUGAGUGCGAAACCUGGGGAGCAACAGGAUUAGAUCCCUGGUGUCCACCCGUAACGAUGUCACUACCGUGGGACCUUGAGAUCUUAUGGCCACUACGCUUAAUCGCCGCUGGGAGACGGCGCAGGUAAACUCAAUGAUUGCGGGA
rnacentral:rRNA from 1 species